UAAGGAAUAUUGGUCAAUGGACGCAAGUCUGAACCAGCCAUGCCGCGCGAAGGAUGAAGGUCCUCUGGAUUGUAAACUUCUUUUAUCUGGGACGAAAACGGGAUUUUUAUCUCAAUUGACGGUACCAGAGGAAUAAGCACCGGCUAACUCCGUGCCAGCAGCCGCGGUAAUACGGAGGGUGCGAGCGUUAUCCGGAUUUACUGGGUUUAAAGGGUGCGUAGGUGGGCUUAUAAGUCAGUGGUGAAAUCUCCGAGCUUAACUUGGAAACUGCCGUUGAUACUAUAGGUCUUGAAUUAUCUGGAGGUAAGCGGAAUAUGUCAUGUAGCGGUGAAAUGCUUAGAUAUGACAUAGAACACCAAUUGCGAAGGCAGCUUACUACAUAUAAAUUGACGCUGAGGCACGAAAGCGUGGGGAUCAAACA
rnacentral:rRNA from 1 species